CGCUUGUCUCAAAUUUUCCACCUUGCUACUAUAUUUAAAAAAGAAACAUUCUUCCUUAAUUUUUUAUGGUGGAGAAUAAAAAGAAACUUAUAAUCCUAGUUGGGGAUGUUGAUGGUAUUGCUAAAAACAUACAGAAUUUAUUUUUAAAUGAUUCCCAAGUUUGUUGAUAAAACUGAAUUACCAAAAAUACUGAGCAAAGCAAGUCAAAUGUCGCUAUUGCAUUAGUAAAAACCAAUUGAGAUCUGAGUAAUGUAGUUUCCAAAGACUAGUUUCUUCCUCUAAAAAGGAUCUCGGGUCCAUUAAACCACAACAAUCCAGAAGUGGAAUUCAACCCACCAAAAUGAACACAAAGUGGAAUUUCAAUGCAAAACCAAUUGAGGUAUAGAUCAAGGCUAAUGUAGAUUGCUGCUUCCUCGGUGACAUAAUUAUCAAUCACAGCACUGGAAUUCAAGUUGUAGAUAUACAAACGAAAGAUCAUUGACUCAUAAACCAUAUGACUAAUCACCGUGUCCAACAUAACAAAACCCCAAUCUUCAGCAAAAGCAAGCGAAGCCCGGGAUUGCUUCGUGAUGGAUAUAAUUUGAAAUUGCUCCAGCGAUCACGAAGGACUGCAAAACAGAACAUAAAUUGAUAUGCAGAAAACGCUCUGCCAGUUAUGAAAAAUGAACAAACGUAUUUAAAACAAAAGAUUAGCCACUCAUCGAGAUUCACCAAAGUUUCAUCAAUUAUUUCAGAACCCUAAACCUUAUUUCUAAUCAUCGUGGCCAAAAUAACAAAAACCAAAUCUACAGCGCAAACAAGGAAGCAUGUGAAUGCUACGGUUGAUUCGUGCGGUAAUCACUUGAAAAAUGCACCAAUCAAAAGGAAGAACUACCAAUGACUAAAAAUAGAUAUACAGACACAGCACCUAGGAUUGUGAAAAACGAGCAAACAAAUCCAGACAAAAAGAUUAGCCACUCAUCGUGAUUCACCAAAAUUUCAUCAUUUAUUUCAGAACCCUAAACCAUAUAUAUAAUCAUUGUGGCCAGCAAUAACAAAAAACCAAAUCUACAGCAAAAACUAGAAAGCAACCAAACCAAAAGAACUACAUUUGUAAUCGUAACAAAGCAUCAAACUUUGACAAAUAAAAACAACUAGAACCAGAACAAAACAAACAGAGCAUCAAUCAUCGUGAUUUUCAAUAGUUUCAUCAUUCAUUUCAGAAAACCCAAUCUUAUGAAAAUUCAAAGAAGCAAGCAAAGCCCGGGAUUGUAUCUCGCUGUAUGUAUUUUUAAAAUGUUCUAAAACGACUACAUGAGUGUUAUUCACAGAUUGCUGCAGCAGGUUUUAAAACAUGUACAAGCAGAUCAAAACCAUUAUAUCAACCACUCAUACAUGAUUUUCCAUUGUAUCAUCACUCAUUUCAGAAACCCUAAACCACAUGUCCAAUCAUAGUGGCCAACAUAACAAAAACCCAGCAUUCAAAAAAGCAUAGAAGCAAGUGAAGUCCGAGAUUGCAACGUAUACAUAUUUUGAAAACGCUAUGAUGGAAAAGGAAGAACGAAAGACUAAAUGAGUGAUGUUUUGUGUAGUGCAGAUUUUCAAAAAUGAACAAACAAAUCGAAACAAAUAUAUCCACCACUUAUUAAUGAUUUUCCAUAGUUUCAUCACUUAUUUCAGAAACCCUAAACCAUUUAUCUAAUCAUCGUGGCCAACAUAACCAAAACGCAAUCUUGAGCAAAAGCAAAGAAGGAAGUGAAGUCCAAGUAUCAUAGUGGUGCACUAAUUUAAACACUAACAGGAAAAACUACCAAAGACUACAUGAGUGAUUGCAGAGACAGCAGCUGCAUAUUUUGAAAAAUGAACAAACCUAUCAAAACCAAUAUAUCAACCACUCAUACAUGAUUCACCAUAGUUUCAUCACUUAUUUCAGAAACCCUAAACCAUUUAUCUAAUCAUCAUGGCCAACGUAACCAAAACCCAACCUUCAGCAAAAGCUGAGAAGCAAGUGAAGCCCGUGGUAGCAUCGUACUGUACUUAUUUAAAAAACACUUCAAUGACAAAAAGAACCACCAAAAUAUGCAGAGACAGCAGCUGCAUAUUUUGAAAAUUGAACAAACAUAUCAAAACCAAUAUAUCAACCACUCAUACAUGAUUCACCAUAGUUUCAUCUCUAAUUUCAGAAACCCUAAACCAUUGAUCUAAUCAUCGUGGCCAUCGUAACCAAAACCCAACCUUCAACAAAAGCUGAGAAACAAGUGAAGCCCGUGGUAGCAUCGUACUGUACUUAUUUAAAAAACGCUCCAGUGACAAAAAGGACUACCAAAAUAUGCAGAGACAGCAGCUGCAUAUUUUGAAAAAUGAACAAACAUAUCAAAAUCAAUAUAUCAGUCACUCAUACAUGAUUCACCAUAGUUUCAUCACUUAUUUCAGAAACCCUAAACCAUUUGUCCAAUCAUCGUGACUAAUAUCUGAAAUGAAAUACUCAACCAAAUCACCUACAAGCAUAGAAACGCCGGUAGAUCUAAUAACAGAUAUAUGUAUCCGCCGAUCUGACUAGGAAGAAAUAAAAUAAAGGAAAGUACAAAAGGCCACAACUGCAACACUGAAGGCCACAAAGCAAUGCGGCUUCCACAUUCACUGGAGCGAUUGCUCCUCAGUGGAGCCGGGGUUGCUUGGUGUUGUACUUAUUAAUAUAAAAAAAGGCACCAAUGAACAGCAAGAACUUCCAAAACCAUAUGAGAGAUAAGCAGAGAGAGCAGCUUCAUAUUUU
rnacentral:lncRNA from 1 species